rnacentral:rRNA from 1 species
GCCCUAGAAAAAAUCUAAGGUGUAACCUGCCCAGUGAUUAACAAUUUAAAAAUAAUCAACUUAUUUUAAAAAAAUUAAAAGGACGCAGUAACCUUGACUGUGAUAAUGUAGCAUAAUCAUUUGCCAUUUAAUUGAUGGAUAGUAUGAAUGGUUGAACGAAUAUUUCACUGUCUUAAAAGGAAAUACUUAAAAACUAGAAUAAUAGUAAAGAUACUAUUUAAUACUGUAAGACGAAAAGACCCUAUAGAGCUUAACUAUAAUCUUUAUUAAAAAUAAACUCAAAAGAAAUUCUUUUUUGAAAAAUAAAGAUUGGUAGUUUAGUUGGGGCGACUAUCUUUUAAAAAAAACGAAGAUAAGCAAUAAUAAAUAAUUAAUUUAUUGUAUAAUAUAUAUAUUUAACAAUUAUAAAAAUAGGCUAUAAUGACCUGUUAUUAUUUUAUAAAAAAAAUAACAAUCAAUAAAUAAAAGCUACCUUAGGGAUAACAGGAUAAUUUUAUUCUAGAGACCUUAUCGAAAAUAAAGUUUGUCACCUCUAUGUUGAAUUAAGAUAUCCCAAUAACGCAGAAGUUAUUAAAGGUAGGUCUGUUCGACCUUUAAAAUCUU